GAUGAACGCUGGCGGCGUGCCUAAUACAUGCAAGUCGAGCGAACAGACGAGGAGCUUGCUCCUUCGACGUUAGCGGCGGACGGGUGAGUAACACGUAGGUAACCUACCUAUAAGACUGGGAUAACUUCGGGAAACCGGAGCUAAUACCGGAUAAUAUUUCGAACCGCAUGGUUCGAUAGUGAAAGAUGGCUUUGCUAUCACUUAUAGAUGGACCUGCGCCGUAUUAGCUAGUUGGUAAGGUAACGGCUUACCAAGGCAACGAUACGUAGCCGACCUGAGAGGGUGAUCGGCCACACUGGAACUGAGACACGGUCCAGACCCCUACGGGAGGCAGCAGUAGGGAAUCUUCCGCAAUGGGCGAAAGCCUGACGGAGCAACGCCGCGUGAGUGAUGAAGGUCUUCGGAUCGUAAAACUCUGUUAUUAGGGAAGAACAAACGUGUAAGUAACUGUGCACGUCUUGACGGUACCUAAUCAGAAAGCCACGGCUAACUACGUG
rnacentral:rRNA from 1 species